AUUUCAAUCGAGAUCUUCUAUCAAGAGACUCCAUCUAACAUAGACUGGAUACAAUCCAUUCAAGACUUUUACUACACUAACAUCCUUCCCAGCCCAAGCGGUCACUUGUGUUUUUGAUUUUAGCCAUUCUGACAAGUGUAUCUCUUCUUUCAAAUGGUGAGGACUAUAAUUAAACUGAAGAAAUCUGCUUCUCCAAUUGGUUUGCACUACAACCAAGCAGUGGAAUUCUGCCAGAGUUGGGGGCAGGGCUCAGCAGUGGUAUAUGUCCUGAGAUGGGAGUGGGGCUAUUGGAUGUCUGCUGGGGAUUAGGAACUGGGGAAUAGAUCACCUGGCUUGAAGACAGAUCAAACACCCGUUCUUCCAAUUGGUGUGGCCUGUACCUGAGCCAAUGAAGUUUAUUCUUCCAACUGGCCUAGAAGACACUGUUGGAGAAUAUUUGCUCAAAUCUUUGAAGAUGUGGUGCAUUUGCAUACCUGUGAAGUAAAAGACUGUGGAUCCUUCAAAAUUAAUAGAGACCAGAUUUGCUUGGAAGAGACACCCUGAAAAUCUUGGAUACAGAUAUAAAUAAAUAAGCCUAGAAAAACUGCAAGGCAUUUGAUGUAUAAGCUGACGCCUUGAUAUGGGAACAUCUCUGAGACUGGAUGAGACAUGAUAAAUAAUUUGAGGUACAGAGUCAUCAUGAUUUAUUACAUCCUAUCCUUUCAUAUGUCAUGUAACUGUAGCAUGACAAACUACACUACAAAUUAAACCCAAACAAACUCCCAGUACAGAAAAGGAGAUGUGGAAUCAGAGUCCCAUCCCUAAUCAUGAAGCUAUUUGGUAUUAAUACCUGCUAAGAAAUGGAAAAAAUAGGUUUUUUUUUUCUAACAAAGUGUCACUGUAUUUAUUAUAUUAAUGACACUUUGGAGUAGAAAAAUGGCCUGCAGCAGUUAGACAAUACAAAAUGGUCUCCAUAGAGAAUAUUUGUUGGGUAGGUGUGCACUUUAUGUUUUGUUUUGUUUGGCAUGUAUUUUUGUAUUAUUCUGUUGAUGUUGUUUUAAACAGUUUGUGUCUCUUUUUCACUUUUACAUAUUUUUCUUUUUAAAUGUUUCUCUUUUUGUGGGAGAGAACAAGAGGUUAGAUGAGGAAGGAAGUAGGGAAGAUUUGGGAGGAACUAUGGGAGGAGAAAAUAUGACCAUAUUAUUUUGUAUAAAAUAUUUUUAGAUUAAAAAUAAAUCAAUUACAUAAGAGUACUCUUAAUAAUACAUCCAAUUCAAUGGUCACAACAAUUGCCCUGGUUAAACUAAGUAAGUCAUAAAACAUAACCAAAAGUCAAGACUGUGGAAAAGGAAGUGAUGAGGAAAGGUAAGCAGGGGUGGGAGAGAGAUAAGACAGACUAUAGAGUAACAAAAUGUAUUAUAUACAUGUUCA